CUAAAUGCAUACAUUUAAUUUAAUUUAUACUGAUAUGUUAGUCUCUAUAGUAGUACUAGGUUAUGUUUUUAUGUUAUUUUGCUCUUUAUAUUUGGCAGGACGGCUCUGUCUGUUACAGUCUAGAUGUGUGCGUGUGAACCAGUAACCUGUACUCUGCUGAGAUAUGGGCUCCGGCCAGCAACAGCCACAAGCCCCAGACAGACAGCCUUCUCCAUCCCUCUGCUAGAGCUUUCUGUUUCUCUGUCACUGGAGUGUCAGGUUUCUGUUGAGGGCGGAUGGAGAUAUGAUUGUCACAUUGGAUGCAAACUUUGGCCUUGUGAGGAAGUAAAGCCGCAGUACAAGUGUGGUUGAUCCAUUACACAGAACCCGCAUGUUUAGAGGAAUACCUGCUAUCACAUCUUGACAGCUCAAAGCCUCAAGAGGACUGCAGUAAGCUGCUCUCAUUCAAGGUCUCCAACAGCUGGAAAGAAAAUGACAUCAAGCCACUGUGAUGUUUCACCCACAUGUACAAGACAUUAUAGACAUAUAAUAUAAUAAUUACUUUACUGCAUUACUUGUGCAGACAUGUUGUUUUACUAGGUCUGAUCUAUUUUAAAGCUUAGGCACUGUAUUUAAGCAUACAUAUCCCCACUAGUCUGUCUGUAUGAGUACAACAUAAAAAAAUAAACUGUCUAUAAUUGUUACUGUACAAGCACAGUAAAAUAUUUUUUAUAAAAAAUAUUGCACUACUGUUAUUUUGCAUAGAAUACAUUGUUCAACAAU